rnacentral:lncRNA from 1 species
CUUACAUUUGCUAUAUUUAUGUUUUUAAAAUUUGAAUCUAAAUUUGGACUCUUCUAUCUGACUUCUGUUUUGGGAUUUUUUGUGAUUGGACAGAAGAUGGUUGCCAAUGAAGAGAAAUAGCAUGGCAAUAUUGCAAUGUUUGAAAUGGGGAAAACAAUAUCUAUAGUUCUACAACCAGGUAAAUAUUUUCUUAAGUUUUGUGAGUUUUUUCCUAUGUUAUUUUGUCGUGUGUUUGUGGUGGUUUGCAGAGUAGGCGAAAAUAUUAAAUAUGAGGAAUCAUGUUAAAAGGUGAAACUUUUGUUGGUGGAUUUGUGUUAUGCUAAGGAUUUUUUUUGUACUUUGUGUGUGUUAGUUGUGUUUGUGUCUACUUAUGUAUAUAUAGAUUUUGUGGUUUGUUUUGAGUUUGGAUGAAAAAAAAAUUGUUUAUUUGAUUUUCUAUGUUGAAGUGGCAACAUGGAAAAAAUAUUUGUG